rnacentral:rRNA from 1 species
UACAGAGGGUGCAAGCGUUGCUCGGAAUCAUUGGGCGUAAAGGGUAGGUAGGUGGUCUCGUUUGUCUGGGGUGAAAGCCCAGGGCUUAACCCUGGAAGUGCCCCGGAAACGGCGAGACUGGAGUCUUGGAGAGGGUCGUGGAAUUCCCGGUGUAGCGGUGAAAUGCGUAGAGAUCGGGAGGAACACCAGCGGCGAAGGCGGCGACCUGGACAAGUACUGACACUCAACUACGAAAGCGUGGGGAGCAAACAGG